GCCCUCAUCGUCUAGUGGUUAGGACACGCGGCUUUCAUCUGCGUAGCCGGGGUUCGAUCCCUCGUAGGGGCGCCA
rnacentral:tRNA from 2 species